AAGCGCUUAACGCCGCGUUGUCGUUCUCAUUCAUUCGAUGCUUGUUUCAACCCAUUCGUUCUUUCAGUCUGCUCGCAACCUCAGGAGGAGGUGGAUUACUCGUUUUCUUUCGCUAUAAAACGCGUUUCGGUGUGAUUUGUGUUUUUAUUGUGGUGUACAAUGGCUUACAACGGUGGUAGUGGCAAGAGACUGUGUUUAGGAACCGACCUGGACGUAGAGAGGGUAAGUCUACAUUCUUCUAUUGGUGACUAGUUUUUGGUGAGUCGUACCUAACCCUAAACAGAGGGUAUAUUAAUGUCGUUUCAAUCAUAUUUUGAAUAUUUUGUAUACCGUACAGAUAAUGG
rnacentral:misc_RNA from 1 species